rnacentral:rRNA from 1 species
UACGUAGGGACCAAGCGUUGUUCGGAUUUACUGGGCGUAAAGGGCGCGUAGGCGGCAAUUCAAGUCACUUGUGAAAUCUCCGAGCUUAACUCGGAACGGUCAAGUGAUACUGCUUUGCUAGAGUGCAGAAGGGGCAACCGGAAUUCUUGGUGUAGCGGUGAAAUGCGUAGAUAUCAAGAGGAACACCGGAGGUGAAGACGGGUUGCUGGGCUGACACGUGACGCUGAGGCGCGAAAGCGUGGGGAGCGAACCGG